rnacentral:rRNA from 1 species
UACGUAGGGGGCAAGCGUUGUCCGGAUUUACUGGGCGUAAAGCGCGCGUAGGCGGAACGAUCAGUCCGGUCUGAAAGCCCCCGGCUCAACCGGGGAGGGUGGCUGGAAACUGUCGUUCUUGAGGGCGAGAGAGGAGGGUGGAAUUCCUGGUGUAGCGGUGAAAUGCGCAGAUAUCAGGAGGAACACCGGUGGCGAAGGCGGGUCUCUGGGCCGAUACUGACGCUGAGGAGCGAAAGCGUGGGGAGCAAACAGG